rnacentral:rRNA from 1 species
UACGUAGGGACCAAGCGUUGUUCGGAUUUACUGGGCGUAAAGGGCGCGUAGGCGGCAAUUCAAGUCAGCUGUGAAAUCUCCGAGCUUAACUCGGAACGGUCAGCUGAUACUGUUUUGCUAGAGUGCAGAAAGGGCAACCGGAAUUCUUGGUGUAGCGGUGAAAUGCGUAGAUAUCAGGAGGAACACCAAUGGCGAAGGCAGCUCGCUGGGACGGUACUGACGCUGAGGCGCGAAAGCGUGGGGAGCAAACAGG